rfam:Rhynchosporium commune strain TK7 genome assembly, contig: RCO7_scaffold007
GGGCCAUUGGCCUAAUGGCAUGGCGCUUGACUUCGAAUCAAGAGAUUGUAGGUUCGACCCCUGCAUGGCUCA